rnacentral:rRNA from 1 species
UAGUCUGGUGCCAGCAGCCGCGGUAAUACGGGAGUGGCAAGCGUUAUCCGGAAUUAUUGGGCGUAAAGCGUCCGCAGGCGGCCCUACAAGUCUGCUGUUAAAAAGUGGAGCUUAACUCCAUCAUGGCAGUGGAAACUGUUGGGCUUGAGUGUGGUAGGGGCAGAGGGAAUUCCCGGUGUAGCGGUGAAAUGCGUAGAUAUCGGGAAGAACACCAGUGGCGAAGGCGCUCUGCUGGGCCAUUACUGACGCUCAUGGACGAAAGCCAGGGGAGCGAAAGGGAUUAGAUACCCCUGUAGUCCUGGCCGUAAACGAUGAACACUAGGUGUCGGGGGAAUCGACCCCUUCGGUGUCGUAGCUAACGCGUUAAGUGUUCCGCCUGGGGAGUACGCACGCAAGUGUGAAACUCAAAGGAAUUGACGGGGGCCCGCACAAGCGGUGGAGUAUGUGGUUUAAUUCGAUGCAACGCGAAGAACCUUACCAGGGUUUGACAUCCUGCGAACCUCUUAGAAAUUUGAGGGUGCCUUCGGGAAUGCAGUGACAGGUGGUGCAUGGCCGUUCUU